rnacentral:sRNA from 2 species
ACGCCCGUCAUCUGGGGAGUAGCCAGCCGUCCACCCGGACGGGCCGCCGCGUCAACAUACUCGGUCGAGAGGCCGUGGUGCGGUGGAAGCGCAAGACGCGCUUGGGCGAGACCAAUGGCAUCGACCCCACGUCCGGGCCGGGCGGCGGGUUUCGAUGUCCGUUGGAAU